rnacentral:rRNA from 1 species
GACGAACGCUGGCGGCGUGCUUAACACAUGCAAGUCGAACGCGAAAGCCCUUCGGGGCGAGUAGAGUGGCGAACGGGUGAGUAACACGUGGGCAACCUGCCCCAAGGCGCGGGACAACCCGGGGAAACUCGGGAUAAUACCGCAUGAUUCGCCGGCCCCCAAGUGCCGGCGGCAAAUGGUAGCUUCGGCCUCCGCCUUGGGAUGGGCCCGCGGCGCAUUAGCUUGUUGGUGAGGUAACGGCCCACCAAGGCGACGAUGCGUAGCUGGUCUGCGAGGACGAUCAGCCACACUGGGACGGAGACACGGCCCAGACUCCUACGGGAGGCAGCAGUGGGGAAUCUUGCGCAAUGGGCGGAAGCCUGACGCAGCAACGCCGCGUGUGGGAAGACGGCCUUCGGGUUGUAAACCACUUUCAGGGGGGACGAAGCUUCCAGGGUUAAUAGCCCAUGGGGUGACGGUACCCCCAGAAGAAGCCCCGGCUAACUACGUGCCAGCAGCCGCAGUAAGAC